CAACCCUCAAGCUCUGCUUGGUAUUGGGCUUGGCCGUCGUGGCCGGCCCUAAAAUCAGUGGCGGUGCCGUCUUGGCUCCAAGCGUAGUACAUUUCUCGCUCCGGAGGCCUGGUGGUAUCUUGCCAGACAACCCCAAUUAUCUUCUAU
rnacentral:misc_RNA from 2 species